AAAGCAGAUUCGAUCUGAUUCGACUCGGCGGAGGAGACGACGACGACUCAUAACAAGGGUUCAAGUCAUAGUGAGGUUACUCGGUGUGAGACAUACUCUGGGUUGACAGAUUCUGGGAAGAAUUUCAGUACAAGGAGUGAAUUUUAAUCCCAACAGCAAAGAGUAUACGUAUGGAGUAGUGAUCAUAUUUCAGUCAUGUAUACGCCGAAUAAUUCAAAGCCUGAGAAUCUGAGAUGGUUGAAGCUGAAGACGAAGGGCCUGGUUUAAGAGCUUUCAGAUCUCUCUUGAAGCUCACCGAAGUCUUCCUCUGGGACGAUGGCAUAAGAAACGAC